rnacentral:lncRNA from 1 species
UGGGAAGUGGAGCCAGAGGAGUUCAAGGCCAGCCUGCGUCUGUACUCAGGAAGAGCCCACCCUUGGCCUCUGGUAGUUGUAAGACCUGGCUUUUGUUGUAACAUAUUUGUCCCAAGACAGUCUAGUGCAAAGCUUCAUGGGAAUGUCAAGCGUAUUCUUCCAAGGACUGAGGAAGGGGCCGUUCUGUUUAAAGUCAGUGUUCCAGCACUGCUGGGGUGCAUGAGGUGGGGAGCAGGAUCAGCCCACAGAGUUGGAGUUUGCAGGAGGGACAUUAGGAAACUUGGGAACUGGGAUGAGGCCAGUGUGGGGCCAAGAGCUAUGCUUUCAAAGUAGCUCUUCUGACCCAGUGAGGCCUCAGGUCUCAGGACCCUCAGAGUGUCGCUGGGAGAACAGAAUCUAUCCCCGCACAGGUUAAACCAUUUCUCCACUCUUGAGUUUGUAUUCGUUGCUUUCAGGAAAAUCUUUUGUUCCAAGAGUAGGAAGCAGGCAGUGGGGUCUUCACCUGAAAACGUGAGCUUUUGCUCAUGGGCACAGCUAGUGUAGAGGGAAGUGCUGCCCUUGCAGUAUGAAGGGGGCGCCAAGGAGCCUGCGUAUGUAAGCGCAUAAGUUCAAGUGUGGUUGUAAAGCACUCCUAGCUUGGCUUUUGCACCUAUUUGGGCUUUCCCACCCA